rnacentral:tRNA from 1 species
GAGCCAUUAGCUCAGCUGGUAGAGCAUCUAACUUUUAAUCAGAGGGUCAGAGGUUCGAAUCCUCUAUGGCUCA